UACGGGGGGGGCAAGCGUUGUUCGGAAUUACUGGGCGUAAAGGGCUCGUAGGCGGCCAACUAAGUCAGACGUGAAAUCCCUCGGCUUAACCGGGGAACCGCGUCUGAUACUGGAUGGCUAGAGGUUGGGAGAGGGAUGCGGAAUUCCAGGUGUAGCGGUGAAAUGCGUAGAUAUCUGGAGGAACACCGGUGGCGAAGGCGGCAUCCUGGACCAAUUCUGACGCUGAGGAGCGAAAGCCAGGGGAGCAAACGGG
rnacentral:rRNA from 1 species